AAUUAGUCAAGGAAGGGUUUUGCGUUUUUUCCACCCAAAAUGACUGUCAUCUUUUCCUCUUCCCAUUUUCACACAAACUUUUACCAUUAACAAACUUUUACCAAGCAAGAGGAAGAGAGCACACAAAACACACCAUUUGCGGCUACAAAGUACGAACGACUACUGAACUAGAGACAAAAGAUAUGGAGAAUGUUCCAAACUGCAUAAUUUUACACCAUGGUGGCAAAUGGGUGACCACUGAAGAAUGGUCUUACGUUGGCGGAAAAAUUGAAAUCUGUAACGAUAUGCCAGUUCAAUUGACACACCAUGAUAUUGUGAGUUUGGUUUCGAGGUUGGGCUAUGAUGAUGUAAUCGGACUUCAUUACAAUGAUCCUUCAAUUACAAGGGUUUCGAUCAUGGAUUAGGGUUUUUUGGCGCUGUGGAUUGAAAGAUUAAAAGCGUAUAAUGGUGGCUCUUGGAUUUUUGAUGGAUUGAUUGUUGUUCUGUGGAGUAGUUAUUAUUUUAAUGGAAGGAAAUGAAUUUUUUAUUUUAUUUUUGGAUGAAACAACAGUUCAUGUAAAGAACUUUUGUGUGUGUGUGUUUGAUUAAGGGAUGAAAUUGAAAUGGAUGGAAGUGAUUUUAUUUCGGAUGAAAUUAUAAAUGCUCAUAAGUACAAUUAUAUUU